GUUGAACGCUGGCGGCAUGCUUUACACAUGCAAGUCGAACGGCAGCGCGGGGGCAACCCUGGCGGCGAGUGGCGAACGGGUGAGUAAUGUAUCGGAACGUAUCCUGUAAUGGGGGAUAACCAGUCGAAAGAUUGGGUAAUACCGCAUACGCACGAGAGUGGAAAGUAGGGGAUCGCAAGACCUUACGUUAUAGGAGCGGCCGAUAUCUGAUUAGCUAGUUGGUGGGGUAAAGGCCUACCAAGGCGACGAUCAGUAGCUGGUCUGAGAGGAUGAUCAGCCACACUGGGACUGAGACACGGCCCAGACUCCUACGGGAGGCAGCAGUGGGGAAUUUUGGGACAAUGGGCGAAAGCCUGAUCCAGCCAUGCCGCGUGCGGGAAGAAGGCCUCGGUUGUAACGCUUAGUCU
rnacentral:rRNA from 1 species